rnacentral:rRNA from 1 species
UGGCGGACGGGUGAGUAACACGUGAGCAACCUGCCUUUCAGUGGGGGACAACAGUUGGAAACGACUGCUAAUACCGCAUAACGUGCCGGAAGGGCAUCCUUUUGGUACCAAAGAUUUAUCGCUGAAAGAUGGGCUCGCGUCUGAUUAGAUAGUUGGUGAGGUAACGGCCCACCAAGUCGACGAUCAGUAGCCGGACUGAGAGGUUGAUCGGCCACAUUGGGACUGAGACACGGCCCAGACUCCUACGGAAGGCAGCAG